CCCAAGUAACUGGGAUUACAGGCGCCCACCACCACGCCCAGCUAAUUUUUGUAUUUUUAGUAAGACGGGGUUUCACCAUGUUGGCCAGGCUGGUCUCGAACUCCUGACCUCAGGUGAUCUGCCCACCUCGGCCUCCCAAAGUGCUGGGAUUACAGGCGUGAGCCACUGCGCCCGGACUCUAUUUGGUUUUAAAAGCUCUCUAGGGUUCCCUCUUCCCAGACAGCCAAAUUAGGGAGUGACAUAACCCGCAGCACAGUUGUCAAAGGGGCCCUUAAUUAUUCACCCAUCCCAGAGGCAUCGUUUGAAGAAAGUGCCUUCUUUAAGGGCAUUGGCUGCCUAGAUGUGUUCAAAUAUAAAUGUGUGUGUGUAUACUUACAUUUUUAAUAGACUUUUAUUUUGGAAUAAUUGUAGAUUUACAGAAAAGCUGCAAAGAAUAGUACAGAGAGUUCCCUCAAAUUCUUCGCCCAGUUUCCUCUAACAUUUGCAUCUUACACAGCCAUGGCACAUUUGUCAAAACUAAGAAAUUAACACUGGUAUUACUUUUAACUAAAGGCUUUUUUGGAUUUUACCAGUUUUUUCACUCAUGCCUUGUUUUGUUCCAAAAUCCAACCCAGGAUAUCACACUGCAUUUAAUCAAAUGUAAAUACGUAUGCUUUAACUUUUUUAUUUUAAAAUAAUCAUAGAUUUACAGGAAAUUGCAACAACAACAAAAAAAGUACAGAGAUUCUGUGUACCCUUCCCCCAGUUUCGUUCAGUGGUAACUCCUUGUAUAACUACACAAUAUCAAAACCAUGAAAUAGAUAUUGGCACAAUCCAUAGACAGUAUUAAAUAUACAUGCAUAUAUAUAUAUUUUUAAGUGAAAAAUAUUUUUAAACCUCGCUUUGCCUCACAGCCAAGAAGAUCAAAUACUUUCUCCAAAAACAUAGAAUUUGUAUCUAACUCCACUCGCUCCAAACUCAAGUCCAACCAUGAAAUUAUUGAUCCCUCUCUCUAACCCUCCAACUACAGGCAAGAAGCUGCCCAUACAUUCCCCAAAGCAGGAGUGCACUCUGCCACAGGCCUAGAUGCCGUCAACCUCCUGGACCUUGAACUCCCUAAAUUAAUGGCCUCUGUGUGAGUAUGUGUAAGCAGCCCCUCUCUGUCCCAGUCCAUCCUAAAAUCACUCCCUUGGAGCCACCACUGCCCCUCUCAUCUUCUAGAAUUUCUAGAAAGAUAAAGAGCUAGAUAAGCAUCUAGGUACCUUUCUUCUGCUGUUAGCUCUAAAGACAAGUGAAUAUAUCCUAGCUAGGAUGUACUCUAAGGAAUGCAGAAGUAGGCCGAGUGCAGUGGCUCAUUCCUGUAAUCCCAGUGCUUUGGGAGGCCGAGGUGGGCGGAUCACCUGAGGUCAGGAGUUUGAGUCCAGCCUGGUCAACAUGGCAAAGCCCCGUCUCUACUAAAAAUACAAAAAUUAGCUGGGCGUGGUGGCGGGUGCCUGUAAUCCCAGCUACUCGGGAGGCUGAGGCAGGAGAAUCACUUGAACCCCCAAGGCAGAGGUUGCAGUGAGCUGAGAUGGUACCACUGCCCAUUUCAAAAAAAAAAAAAAAAGAAUGCAGAAGUAAAUUAAAUGACCACAAAGAGUUUUUUUUAAUUUGAGACAGGGUCUGGCUCUGUCACCUAGGCUGGAAUACAGUGGCGCAAUCUCAGCUCACUUCAAUCUGUGCCUCCUGGGCUCAAGCCAUCCCCUGACCUCAGCCUCCUGAGUAGCUGGGACUACAGUCCUGCCACUAUGCCUGGCUAAUUUUUGUAUUUUUUGUAGAGAUGUUGCCCAGGCUGGUCUGAAACUCCUGAGCUCAAGGGAUCCAUCCACCUGGGCCUCCCCAAGUGCUGGGAUUACAGGCAUGCGCCACCGUGCCCAACCCAGACAUCACUUUUAUCUGAAGCAACAACUAUCUGCUCUUUCUGUUUCCUUACUAAUUAUCCAGGAACUUUUACAGGUGAACUCUGAGGAGGACAAUUUUUAUUGUUUUUAUGUCAGCAUAACUAAAAGUAAAGCUGGAUAGGAAGAGGUUACUUGAAAAUGAUUUCACCUGAACUCAAAUGAAUAAGCUGGCUACUGCAUAAAGCAACAGAGGGGUCCCUUUAAUUUAAAAGCUCAGGACUCUGAAUCAAUUGCUGGUUGGGAGAAGGUAGAGACAUUCUUUACUUCUGCCUAGAACUGGGGAAAAUGGCGUAGACUUCUGCUCUGAAGCAGUCCUCAGUGCUGCUUCGGUCAGAACUCCCGAGAGGCAUCUGAGUGCUGGCCUGUCACUGCGGCUGGCAUUCCAGGCAUUUCAUUGGCCCCACUUCAGCCCACGCCUGGCUCCACGGGGCUGGGCAGCUGAGGGGAGUUUGUGGCAGAGUGGGCAUGGGGCACGGCCCGUGCAAUGUGCGUUACAAAGGGGCUCUCUCUGAAGCAAGUCCUCUGCACUCCAGUCUAUUUGAGGAAGAAAAGGACAAUUCCCAUAGGGAGGGGGUUUGCUGAAGCAACCAGCUGCCUGGUUUCCUCUCCAGCAUUGAGAGGGAGGGAGGGCUGGCUUAACUGGGGGACGGCCUUCUCAUCUGGACUGUGUCAAGGCCAAGGUUAGGCUCCAAAUUCCAGAAAACCUCUCUGCAGGGUCUUCUUUCAGAGUGGUGAGAAUGGAAGCAGGCUCCCUUCCCCUCCAGCACUAGGAAGCCCCGCAAUUGGUGAGGUGCAAAGAAAGAUGGGCCCAGGCAGGGAGGCGGGAGCAGGGGAGGUGUAAGACACUUACGUUUGGCGUCACCUCUUAGGCUUGGAUGAAUUUCAGAAAGUGCUAGACUGGAGAACAGUGGAAAAAAUCAGUGGAACAAGAUCUGGAGCACUCACUGCUCAAUGUCAAUGUUAGAGAGCACAACGACACCAAUGGGAGGAGGGUGAGGACCAGAGGCUGAUUGCAUGAGCUCUGUUGGAGUGCAGGACCCACUAACGGGUUAUCUCAGGGUUCCUGGAGGCCACGGCUGUGCCUUGUGGUCCAAGACCUGGGGAAGCCACCACUGUGUCUUCCCUCUCCAUCCUCCGGUGACUUUGGUCCAAUUCCUGUUGCCAUGGCAAUCAGCCCAGCUGGCCUCACAGUUCACUGGCCUCAAAGUUGGCAUCUGUAGGUGAAGCCAGUGGGACCCAGAGAACUUAAUUCUUCUCAACUGAGCUGGCUUGGAGGAACUUUUCUCAUCAGCCACUGGAGCAGAGAACGUCACCAGCGUCUCACUGACGUCAACAUCCUGGGCCUGGCUCUAGCUGAAAAGGAAAAUUCUCCCCAAGGCAGACACAUCUCCCGAAGCCCACACAGGCACUUUCUAUGAUUGCACUGGAAAUCUGUCUCCUGGGGACAGGGAGCGCGUACGCUCACAGUCAAGUCACAAUGUUGAGCAGUCUCCAGGACUCCACGUUCAUCUCUAAGAACAGGAGCCGGUGGUUGGGCGCAGAUUCUUGAGCCAGAUUGCUCGCGUUCAAAACCUGGUCCCUUUUUAUUAAUUGCAUGCUUAGUUACAUUUUCUGUUUGUACUUUUGUUUCCUUCUCUGCAAGACGGGGUUAAUCACAGACACUUGUACAUGAUGUAAUACACUUACAAUACUUAGGACAGGCCUUCCUGCAUAGUAAGUGCUCUGCAAACACUGGCUACUAUUCUCCCUACGUGCAAACUUCUCCCAGCCAAAAGCCGCCCACACCAAGCCCCUGUGCCUUUUUCCUUCCGCACCCACGAGCAGGCUGCUCCUGGGGCCCUGGAGCUCACUUUCCCAGCCGCCCUCACCACCCACCGUGGCGCAGAAGAGCUUCCGAAGUCCUGGCGUCUCCCACUGGUCUGGGCAUCUCUCGCUUCAUCUUCCCUCUUGGGCCCCACAACGUGCAGCACUUCUAGGGCAGUAUACUUGCUGAUUGCUUCCUUACUAUUGCUCACAACAACCAGCUAAGACACUGCCAAAGAAACACUCACAGCUGGCCGGUCCACGGCAUCCGGAGGGGACUCGGGGGACAGGCCUGUCCUGCCUCUCCCCAGCACCUGUUGAUAAGAAGGAAAUGUGGGGAGGAAAGAAAGGAUGCAGGAGGCCGAGGUGGGAGGAUCGCUUCAGGCCAGGAGUUCAAGACCAGCCCAGGCAACUAGCAAGACUCCAUCUCUACAAAAAAAUUUUAAAAAUUAGCCAGGCAUGGUGACAUGCGUGCCUGUAGUCCUAGCUACUGGAGAGGCCAGGGCAGGAGGAUCGCUUGAGCCCAGGGGUUGAGGCUGCAGGGAGCUGUGAUUGCGCCAGUCUGGGUGACAGGGUGAGACCCCGUCUCUAAAAAUAAAAAUUGGGUGAUGGCUCACACCUGUAAUCCCAGCAAUUUUGGAGGCCAAGACAGGAGGAUCACUUGAGGCGAGAAGUUCAAAACCAGCCUGGUUAACAUAGCCAGACCACCACCUUCAGCAACUGUCUCUACAAAAUGAAAAUAAAAAUAAUGAAAGAGAGAGGAUGGAGGAGAAGGCUGAGACCAGUAACAGAUUCCAAAAGGACUAAUUGACAAGGAGAAAAAGAGUCAGCACUUCCCUGGAAGAGAAAAAAUUCGAAAAGGACAGUGGUUGAAAAGUCAGCAUGUCUGCGUGAAAGGGAAGCAAUGAAGUAGCGCCAACUCCUCCCCCGUCCCGGGCACCGUUUAGGGAGAGGAUCAGAGUUCUGCCAGAGAAUCAGAACCAGAAGGAGAUAUAGAUUAAGUUUAUUUCAAGGAAUCGGCUUACGUGAUUGUGGGGGCUGGCUAGGCAAGUCUGAAAUCCAGAGGGCAGGCCAGCAGGCCGGAAGCUCCCCGGAGGAGCUGACACUGCAGUCCCCAGGCAGGAUUUCUUCUUCUUCAGGGAAACCUCGGUUCUGCUCUUGAGGCCUUUCAACCGAUUGCAUGAGGCCCACCCACCUCGCAGAGGAGAACCUUUGACUUACAGCCAGUGAUCAUCAGUGCUGACCACAUGUACAACGCACCUCACAGUAGCACCCAGGCAAGCGUUUGGUUGAAUCAUGGGUAUCACAGCCUCGCUAAAUUGACAAGGAAAUUGCCCAUCACAGGGUUUAAGAUCUAGUGCUUUAAGAUCUACUGACUUCUUGUUGUUUUGUUGUUGUUGUUUUUAUAGAGAUGGGUUCUUGCCAUGUUGCCCAGGAUGGUCUCAAACUCCUGGGCUCAAGUGAUCCUUCCGCCUCGGCCUCCCAAAAUACUGGGGUUAUAGGCAUGAACCACUAUGCCAGGCCAAGAUCUAGUGACUUUGGAUACGGACCACCACGGAACAGUUCCUCUUCCAUGUGGGUGUGGGGGCAUGAAGGACUGUUUUCAGGAGGAUCAAAGUCACCUCUACCCCAGCAUGGGAAGUCCCAGAAACUUGAGUUCCAGGUAAGGUAGUGCAGAAAAAAGCAGGCUCAUGAGCCAGUGCUGUCUCUCUCUGUGCAAGGGGGAAAGAGCCCCUCUGAGGCCUCCACACACAGUCAGCAGGACACAGGACACAGAGGUCAGCCUGUUGUGGCCACUGUGAAAUGUCCCGUUGGAGUUGACAGGAGCCUGCUCUGACCUCAGUCCUCCUCCUCCAAACAGGUGACCCUGUAAUGCUCUGGUUAAAAAGCAAGCCAGCUGGACUGUGUUAUCUUUUAGUGUGGGAAAAAUGCUCUUAGGCCGGGCGUGGUGGCUCACACCUGUAAUCCCAGUACUUUGGGAGGCUGAGGUGGGUGGAUCACUUGAGAUCAGGAGUUCGAGAUCAGCCUGGUCAACAUGGUGAAACGCCAUCUCUACUACCAAAAAAAAAAAAAAAAUACAAAAAUUAGCUAGGCAUGGUGGCAUGUGCCUGUAGUUCCAGGUACCUGGGAGGCUGAGGCAGGAGAGUUGCUUGAACCUGGGAGGCAGAGGUUGCAGAUCACACCAGUGCACUCCAGCCUGGGUGACAGAGCGAGACUCUGUCUUAAAAAAAAAAAAAAAGCUCCUAAUAUGUCAGAUUUUAACCCAAAGGUAAAUUCCAGCAGGGCAUGCUCAUCAGCUAGAGCGGCAGGUCUCGGCUUCACUGUGUAAGCAUCGGCUGGGGAGCUUUUGGUAAAAUGCAGAUUCCCAGGUUCAAACCUAGAAGUUCAGACUUGGCAGCUCUGGGAUGAUGCCAAAGGUACAUCCUGCAGUUGCUGUGUCCCCAGGUCAGCGCAGAGACAAGCAAAAACUCAAAGCUUCCUCCCUCCCUCAACUCCCAGCCAAGACUGGACGGGGCAGGGGACCCCAGAAUCCUGAAAACAGAUAGCCACAUGGAAACAGUGACCACAGCACACUUGAACUUUGUAAGCACAGCAGAAGCGUGUGGGAUGGGCUGGCCCAUCCAGAGAUGGGGUGCAAGAGGCAGGAAUCUGGCCUCAUGGUGGCUCCUGGCUUCAGCCCCAGCACUGCCACCAGAGGGAGGGCCGUGUGUUUUCAGGGGUGGGCAUGGCAGGGGUGUCAGGCAAACACUAACACAGUGAAGUGCAACUGCCAAGUCUUCCAGCCAGCCCGAUCCUCAGGCUCGGAAACGGUCCCAGAGGAAAAGAUGGUUCAGAAGAGAGAGAGAGUAAGAUCCCGGGGACAUCUGAGCCAAACCACACGCACUUUCCACUGCUCAGCAGCCCCUGUCCCAGACUUCCAAACAGAAUUCCAUUUUCUGAAUCUAGACAGCCACCUGGGUGAAGGCAUCUACCCAUGAAGGCUGCUGCCCCAGGCACCAGAAGGACAGGAGGGGGCCCUUCCUCUUCCUCCUGAGUCAGGACCCUCAGAUGGAGAAGAAAAUCCUCCUAGUCAGAAAGAGGAGGCUCUGACUUUAGGGACAAUCUUUCUAGUUAGAGAGAGGAGGUCUGAACUCUGUGGACAAUCUUUCCAGUCAGAGAGAGAAGGCCUGGACUUCAGGGACAAUUUUUUCUGGUUAGACAGAGGAGGUGGUGGUGGUAGUGCAUGCCUGUAGUCCCAGCUACUCAAGAGGCCAGGGUGGGAGGAUCACUUGAGCCCAGGAAUUGAGGCUGCAGUGAGCCACUGCGCUCUAGCCUGGGUGACAGAGCAAGACCCUGUCUCUAAAAAUAAAAAUAAAAAAUUGGAUGGUGGCUCACAUGCGUAAUCCCAACACUUUGGGAGCCCAAGGGGGGAGAAUCACUUGGGGACAGCCUUUCCAGUCAGAGAGAGGAGGCCUGGACUCUGAGGACAAUCUUUCCAGUCAGAGAGAAGAGGCCUGGACGCUGAGGACAAUCUUUCCAGUCAGAGAGAAGAGGCCUGGACUCUGAGGGCAAUCUUUCCAAUCAGAGAGAAGAGGCCUGAACUCUGAGGACAGUCUCUAGUCAGAGAGAGGAGGCCUGGACUCUGAGGACAGUCUUUCCAGUCACAGAGAGGAGGCCUGGACCCUGAGGACAGUCUUUCCAGUCAGAGAGAGGAGGCCUGGACUCUCAGGACAAUCUUUCCAGUCAGAGAGAGGAGGUCUGGACUCUGAGGACAGGCUUUCCAGUCAGAGAGAGGAGGCCUGGACUCUCAGGACAGUCUUUCCAGUCAGAAAGAAGAGGCCUGGACUCUGAGGACAGUCUUUUCAGUCAGAGAGAAGAGGCCUGGACUCUGAGGGCAAUCUUUCCAGUCAGAGGGAGGAGUCCUGGACUCUGAGGACAAUCUUUUCAGUCAGAGAGAAGAGGCCUGGACUCUGAGGGCAGUCUUUCCAGUCAGAGAGAAGAGGCCUGGACUCUGAGGACAGUCUUUCCAGUCAGAGAGAGGAGGCCUGGACUCUGAGGACAAUCUUUCCAGUCAGAGAGAAGAGGCCUGGACUCUGAGGGCAAUCUUUCCAGUCAGAGGGAAGAGGUCUGGACUCUGAGGACAGGCUUUCCAGUCAGAGAGAGGAGGCCUGGACUCUCAGGACAGUCUUUCCAGUCAGAGAGAGGAGGCCUGGACUCUCAGGACAGUCUUUCCAGUCAAAGAUUCUAGGCCUGGACUUUGGGGACAGCCUUCUCCAUCAAGAGAGAGGAGGCCAGGAUUUUAGGCAAUGGGGAAUAAUUAAUCAAUACAUGAAAAUUGAUUGUGUUCCACAAAAUACAAAACGUACCAAGUCAGCAAUCUUUAACCAUGUCAGACUUCCCUGGAGUCACAACCUGAGGACAGAGAUUUAAAUGAUGUUCCUUUCUACAGAAAGGCCUUCACUCUAAGUAUCAGGCCCAGCUUCUGCUGCAUUAAACAUAAGAUGUAUAAGGCCCCAGGCCUGAUGUGUCUUGCUGCCCAGCCAGCCCUGCUGGUCCAGCAAACCAGGAGGAAUUCGAGAAAAUCAGAAGCCAUCUUUAGCAGGAAAUAGAACUCCAGAGGGGCUGUGAGCUCCUUCAGCACAAAAGAAAACGUUGAUUCUGGCCGGGUGCGGUGGCUCACACCGGUAUAUCCCACUGCUUUGGGAAGCUGAGGUGGGUGGACCACUUCAGGUCAGGAGUUUGAGACCAACCUGGGCAACAUGGUGAAACUCCUGUCUCUACUAAAAACACAAAAACUAGCCGGGCAUGGUGGCAGGUGCCUGUAAUCCCAACUACUUGGGAGGCUGAGGCGGGAGGAUUGUUUGAACCCAUAAGGCGGAGGUUACAGUGAGCCGAGAUGGUGUCACUGCACUCCAGACUGGGUAACAGAGGAAGACUCUGUCUCAAAAAAAAAAAAAAAAAAAGAAGAAGAAGAAGAAAAGAAAAUGCUGAUUCUGGUAAUGAUGCUCUCGGAUGGUAUGAUUCCCAGAAACACAGGAGCUCUCACCAUCACUGGGAUGUGAAAAUUCACUCAGGAAACCUCCUCAGCCCCACAGCACAUCUCCCAGAAGCAUGAUGGUCCCCUCCACAUCCAACACACAGCCACCGAGAGCCUCUGACCUGUGGACACCAUGCUGGGUGUUCACCAGUCAUGGCGGGGGGACAGACAGGUGUCCUGGGCCUUGGAGAAUCUAAUGUCCGUGGAGCAGACACAGGCAAGAAAUCACAGCUGGGCAAAAUUACAAUGGGGAGCAGUGCUAGGGAGGAAAGACCCCUAGCUUCUCUUCCAGAGGAGAAGGUAGUCUGGGAUGUCGUCCCCGUGGCCUCAUCAAUGAGAUCAGGGAAGGGUAACAGGGAACACGCCGCACCACGGGCAUCAGGGUGGGUGAAGUAGGGCUCGGGGAGGGAGGACCAGCAGCCUGGGAGGGUCGUGUGGUGGCUGAAGUUGCCAAGGAGGCCACGGUGUUGAAGCAACCAAGAAGGCGGGGACAAGUGAGGCAGAAGUGGGCGACCUCGCAGGCCUCCACGAAGAACCCGCCUUUGUUUUAGGAGCAAUGGGAAGACACAGCAUGUUUAGAGGUGGAGGGAUCUCUUGCCAGAACUGUUCUAGAAGCCUGGUGGCGGGGACUGGUAAAUAUACUGAAAACCAAACCAAACAAAACGAAGCCCCAUACCCUUACCCCCCACCACGGGCAUGCUUCCACCAUGACAGCAAACAUCAGGUUGCGGGUGUGUGGGGUCAUGACCUCAUCCUCUGCUCCCAUUUCCCCAACAGCACCUAAUGCACAGCGGACACGGGCAGACCCUUCACACGUGACUAUGUCCCAAUGAUCUUUAUGUGUUGGAGAGGCCUGCUUUGGAGGUCACCUGGACCCAAAAGGCACGGCUUAGCUGGCACCGUCUGCAUAAGCAGAUGAAACCUCAGACGUCCCUCUGAUCCAAACACAAUAUGACUAUAUGAGAGCAAAGAGAUUGCUUUAAUGUCCUCUAACAGGUUAAAGGCCAACACAGCUAAAGUAGGGGCCACAGGUGAUGGAUUCAGAAAGAAAAGCCACUUUCAUGACCGAAAUCGGCUAAGGCUGGGCCGGUAGCUUUUCAUUUAGAAGUAUAUCCUGGCCUGGUCUGGUGGCUCACGCAUAUAAUCCCCAACACUUUGAGGGCCUGAGGAGGGAGGACUGCUUGAGGACAGGAGUUCAAGACCUGUCUGGGCAACAUUGCAAGGUGCUAUCUCUACAAAAAAUUAAAAAGUGAGCUGGGCAUGGUGGUGCACGCCUGUGAGGCAGGAGGAUCACCUGAGCCUGGGAGGCGGAGGCUGCAGUGAGCCGUGAUCACACCACUGCACUCCAGCCUGGGUGAUAGAGCGAGACCUUGUCUCUAAAAAAAUAAAUAGGCUGGGCACGGUGGUUCAC
rnacentral:lncRNA from 10 species